AAGAUCAUACUUCACAGGAUCAUUUCUGUAGUAGAUCUUCGCAUACUCUCUACUCAAAUGUAGAGUUGUCGCAACCAUGAGGAUGAGUUAAAGUCUCGUUUCUUGAGCGUGAGGCAGACAAAUUGUGGAAAAUUACAUUUCUACAUUAGUCAUCGAUGAUCGUUCACUCUAUGGAUUUUUCCCUAGAGAAUAGAAAUGAGACAUUCUGAGUGGU